UCCAAAUUAUAUAUUGUUUGUGGCCACAUGAAGCAACUAAAAUAACCACAGGCAGUGACUUUGAAGUAAGAAAACAAAGCAGCAAGAGGCAAUCCCUUCCUAUAAUGGCUAUUUGCAGGAGUCAUGCC
rnacentral:lncRNA from 1 species